UGGGGAGUAUUGCACAAUGGGGAAGACCCUGAUGCAGCGACGCCGCGUGAAGGAAGAAGGCCUUCGGGUUGUAAACUUCUGUCGUACGGGACGAUAAUGACGGUACCGUACAAGAAAGCCACGGCUAACUACGUGCCAGCAGCCGCGGUAAAACGUAGGUGGCAAGCGUUGUCCGGAAUUACUGGGUGUAAAGGGAGCGCAGGCGCACUAGCAAGUUGGAAGUGAAAUCUAUGGGCUCAACCCAUAAAGUUGCUUUCAAAACUGCCAGUCUUGAGUAGUGCAGAGGUAGGCGGAAUUCCCGGUGUACGGUGGAAUGCGUAGAUAUCGGGAGGAACACCAGUGGCGAAGGCGGCCUACUGGGCACCAACUGACGCUGAGGAGCGAAAGCAUGGGGAGCGAACAGGAUUAGAUACCC
rnacentral:rRNA from 1 species